rnacentral:rRNA from 1 species
AUUGAACGCUGGCGGCAGGCCUAACACAUGCAAGUCGAGCGGAUGAAGGGAGCUUGCUCCUGUAUUCAGCUGCGGACGGGUGAGUAAUGCCUAGGAAUCUGCCUGGUAGUGGGGGAUAACGUCCGGAAACGGGCGCUAAUACCGCAUACGUCCUGAGGUAGAAAGUGGGGGAUCUUCGGACCUCACGCUAUCAGAUGAGCCUAGGUCGUAUUAGCUAGUUGGUGUGGUAAAGGCCUACCAAGGCGACGAUCCGUAACUGGUCUGAGAGGAUGAUCAGUCACACUGGAACUGAGACACGGUCCAGACUCCUACGGGAGGCAGCAGUGGGGAAUAUUGGACAAUGGGCGAAAGCCUGAUCGAGCCAUGCCGCGUGUGUGAAGAAGGUCUUCGGAUUGUAAAGCACUUUAAGUUGGGAGGAAGGGAAGUAAGUUAAUACCUUGAUGUUUUGACGUUACCAACAGAAUAAGCAACGGCUAACUUCGUG